GAAAUGCGAUAAGUAGUGUGAAUUGCAGAAUUCAGUGAAUCAUCGAAUCUUUGAACGCACAUUGCGCCCCUCGGUAUUCUGGCGGGCAUGCCUGUCCGAGCGUCAUUUCAACCAUCAAGCCCCCGGGCUUGUGUUGGGGACCUGCGGCUGCCCGCAGGCCCUGAAAACCAGUGGCGGGCUCGCUGUCACACCGAGCGUAGUAGCAAUCACCUCGCUCAGGGCGUGCUGCGGGUUCCGGCCGUUAAACAGCCUUACAAAACCCAAGGUUGACCUCGGAUCAGGUAGGAAGACCCGCUGAACUUAAGC
rnacentral:misc_RNA from 1 species